rnacentral:rRNA from 1 species
AUGAGCCGCCACCGCCGGUCGCCGCUGGACGACGACGACCUCCUCUCCGAGAUCCUCCUCCGCCUCCCGCCGCAGCCGUCCUCCCUCCCGCGCGCCUCCCUCGUCUGCAAGCGCUGGCGCGGCCUCGCCUCCGACCCCGGCUUCUGCCGCUGCUUCCGCAUCCACCACCGCCGCAACCCGCCCCUCCUCGGUUUGUUCGACAGCCACCCCAUCGUUCCCUUCCGGCCCACCGUGGAUCCCCCCAACCGCGUCUCGCCCGGCCGCUUCUCCUUGCAGCUCAGCGACAGCAGGCACGUCAGAUCCCUUGGAUGCCGCCAUGGCCUAGCACUGUACUUCGACUGCGUGCUGCCCCAGCUCCUAGUGUGGGACCCCAUCCACGGCGACCAGCGCCGCAUUGCCCUUCCGCCGGGGUUUGACGCGGAGAGGGCGCUGAUCGACGGGGCGGUGCUUCGUGCUGCCGGAGACGCCCACUUCCAGUUCCAGGUCCUCUUGGUAGGAGCGCUAGACGACGACGACGAUGAAGACGCCGAGGGGCAAAUGGUAUCUGUCUUCACCUGCGUUUACUCGUCAGAGACUGGCGUAUGGGGAAAUCUCUUCUCAACACUAAUUACAGCGGAGUCUUAUGUUAGUUUGGGACCUGCUGUGCUGGUUGGGGACUCCGUUUACUCAAUACUUGUUACUUCACCAGGCUAUGAAUUAGAUCCAGAGACGCAGAUCCUUGAGUUUGAUUUGAAGAUGCAGAGCCUAGCCACGAUACAGCUGCCAGUGGAUAUGCUUGAAUAUUGCCGCCUCAUGCCCGUGCGGGCAGAUGGUGGUGGGCUGGGUUUAUUCCUCGUAUCAAACUUCACCGCCCAGUUAUGGAAAAGGAAAACUGACUGCAAUGGUGUUGCUUCAUGGGGGCUGGGGAGAACUGUUGCAUUGGAUGAACUACUUUCCCUGAAUUCAGAGUCUGGGUACCUAAUAAGCAUAAUAGGGUAUGCUGAGGAAAAUAAUCUGGUGUUCUUGGGGACAGCUGAGGGUGUCUUCAUGAUCCAACUUGAGUCAUUGCAGUUCACGAAACUUUCCGGAGACGUCAUGUUCCCUCGUCAUCAUCCAUUCGAAAGUGUCUAUACUACAGGUUGA